UCGAGAAUUUUUCACAAUGGGCGAAAGCCUGAUGGAGCGACGCCGCGUGGGGGAUGAAUGGCUUCGGCCCGUAAACCCCUGUCAUGUGCGAUCAAUGCUGUAUAGUGAAUAAUUGUACAGUUGAUAGUAGCGCAAGAGGAAGGGACGGCUAACUCUGUGCCAGCAGCCGCGGUAAUACAGAGGUCCCAAGCGUUGUUCGGAUUCACUGGGCGUAAAGGGUGCGUAGGCGGUUAGGUAAGUCUGAUGUGAAAUCUCCGGGCUCAACCCGGAAACUGCAUUGGAUACUAUCUAGCUAGAGGUUUGGAGGGGGGACUGGAAUUCUCGGUGUAGCAGUGAAAUGCGUAGAUAUCGAGAGGAACACCAGUGGCGAAGGCGGGUCCCUGGACAACACCUGACGCUGAGGCACGAAAGUCGGGGGAGCAAACAGG
rnacentral:rRNA from 1 species